UAAACAUUUGUACCUUCAUGUUUAUAAAAGAAAAAAAAAACAAGUAUAUCCUCAACAAUGGAGAUGGAGUUAGCAAACCGUAUCAACUUAGCCCAACAACAACCGCCCGCGUCGCCUACACCCGCCUGCCAACCGACACCAGAAUUGUUCUUCACUUUCAAUUGCCUGACAGGAGCUGAUCUUCUUCAUUCAUUCAUUUAUCUCUAUUGAAAUUUUCCUCCAAAAAAAAUCAAUUGAGGUGUUGAGCCAAGAACAACUACUUUUGAAGAAGAAGAGAAUGAUGUAAAUGUUGAUUUAGUUAUAAGUCAAAGUUAAAGUCAAAUUCAUCAUGAUCAGUGAUUUUUGUAAUUAUUACUCUCAUUUGUUUUUAUACUCUUAUGAUGGUCAUUAUUAGUCAUUUAGUGUUUAUUUGGAAAGAUUUAUGUGACGUUAUUCAUUUGGGAUGUUAUGUUGAUUUUGAGAGUUGGUGAUCAUUUCU